GGCUCUGUAGCUCAGUUGGGAGAGCGUCUGUCUGAAGAACAGAAGGUCACCGGAUCGACGCCGGUCGGAGCCA
rnacentral:tRNA from 1 species